rnacentral:rRNA from 1 species
UCCUAGUACGAGAGGACCGGAGUGGACGCAUCACUGGUGUUCGGGUUGUCAUGCCAAUGGCACUGCCCGGUAGCUAAAUGCGGAAGAGAUAAGUGCUGAAAGCAUCUAAGCACGAAACUUGCCCCGAGAUGAGUUCUCCCUGACCCUUUAAGGGUCCUGAAGGAACGUUGAAGACGACGACGUUGAUAGGCCGGGUGUGUAAGCGCAGCGAUGCGUUGAGCUAACCGGUACUAAUGAACCGUGAGGCUUAAC